rnacentral:rRNA from 1 species
AACGAACGCUGGCGGCAGGCCUAACACAUGCAAGUCGAAGGAGAAGCCACCUUCGGGUGGUGGAAACUGGCGCACGGGUGAGUAACGCGUGGGAAUCUGCCUCGGGGUGGGGAAUAACCGCUGGAAACGGCGGCUAAUACCGCAUACGCCCUACGGGGAAAGCUCCGGCGCCCUGAGAGGAGCCCGCGUUGGAUUAGCUUGUUGGUGGGGUAAUGGCCCACCAAGGCUACGAUCUAUAGCUGGUCUGAGAGGAUGAUCAGCCACACUGGGACUGAGACACGGCCCAGACUCCUACGGGAGGCAGCAGUGGGGAAUAUUGGACAAUGGGCGCAAGCCUGAUCCAGCCAUGCCGCGUGAGUGAAGAAGGCCUUAGGGUUGUAAAGCUCUUCCACCUGCGAAGAUGAUGACGGUAGCAGGAGAAGAAGCCCCGGCUAACUCCGUG